UACGUAGGGGGCAAGCGUUGUCCGGAGUUAUUGGGCGUAAAGAGCGCGUAGGCGGCCAGGUAGGUCGGUUGUGAAAACUCGAGGCUCAACCUCGAGCUGUCGAUGGAAACCAUCUGGCUAGAGUCCGGAAGAGGAGAGUGGAAUUCCCGGUGUAGCGGUGAAAUGCGCAGAUAUCGGGAAGAACACCCGUGGCGAAGGCGGCUCUCUGGGACGGUACUGACGCUGAGACGCGAAAGCGUGGGGAGCGAACAGG
rnacentral:rRNA from 1 species